AACAAAUUGUAAGUAAAUGAGUUUUUUAAUUUGUUUCUAUCAAAAAUUUGAUAAUAUUAAGCAAGAUAGAGAAUAACCUAAAAAGAGCGGAACCAACAGAGGAAUUGAAGCCGGAGUCAGCACAAAUACGGAAAAAAGAGCUAUCAAUUGUUUGAAGCUUCUUCAAAAAAAAAAGAAGUGAUAAGGCGCUUGCAUCCAAGUCGCAUGACCACUAAAAAGCAACCAACGCCAAAAACGAUGGCAACUUUUUUGAACAAGAAGCCGUACUACAACAGUCAUUCAAAUAUAAUAAAGAGACUUGAUCAAAAUGUGAUGAAUAUGAUUGCCAAAGACGUGCGCCACUUUUACGAUCUCAAAUAAAUCUUAUUGUUAUUGGUUGAA